rnacentral:rRNA from 1 species
GACGAACGCUGGCGGCGUGCUUAACACAUGCAAGUCGAACGGUAACAGGUUAAGCUGACGAGUGGCGAACGGGUGAGUAAUGCAUCGGAACGUGCCCGGUCGUGGGGGAUAACGCAGCGAAAGCUGCGCUAAUACCGCAUACGAUCUGAGGAUGAAAGCGGGGGACCGUAAGGCCUCGCGCGAUCGGAGCGGCCGAUGUCAGAUUAGGUAGUUGGUGGGGUAAAGGCUCACCAAGCCAACGAUCUGUAGCUGGUCUGAGAGGACGACCAGCCACACUGGGACUGAGACACGGGCCAGACUCCUACGGGAGGCAGCAGUGGGGAAUUUUGGACAAUGGGCGAAAGCCUGAUCCAGCAAUGCCGCGUGCAGGAAGAAGGCCUUCGGGUUGUAAACUGCUUUUGUACGGAGCGAAAAGGUCUCCUCUAAUACAGGGGGCUCAUGACGGUACCGUAAGAAUAAGCACCGGCUAACUACGUGCCAGCCGCCGCCGUAA